AUGGUCACCAAUGUUUACAACCCCUGUGAUCACGCAGCCAAGCCGGGCUUUCUCCAAUCGCUUGUCAACCUAAAACCAUGGAUCUCCUGCCCUUGGUUGAUCAUAGGCGACUUCAACAUUUCGCUUAGGCCUUCUGAUAAGAACUCUCCUCACUUUAACAUGCUAGAAGCAAACCUUUUUUCCUCCACCAUCCACUCCCUCCAGAUGUAAGACCUCCCUCUGCUUGAUAGGCGGUUCACUUGGUCAAACCAGCAGAAUGUAUCCUGGUUCGCUUAG
rnacentral:rRNA from 1 species